rnacentral:lncRNA from 1 species
CAUGCCCAGAAAUUGAAUAAUUCACGAAGCAAAGAAGGUCACAAUUUAUUGGAGUUAAAUAAUUUAAUAAUAUCUCUUAAAAUUGUCGCCUCCUUGAUGAAAUCAAACUUACUAAGGCCAUGUUUGGUAUUGAGGUAUUGUAACUUUUAAUGAAAGAAAAUGAUGUAACUAUAAAAUAAAAGUUAAUGAUAUAUAGUAAAUACAAGUUCUUAGUAAUAAUUUUGACAAAAUCAGUAAAGAUAUUAUAUUUUUUUUAUCAUACAAGUAUAAAAUCAAAUCAACUUAUCUUUUAAGUAACAACAGAUAGUAUUUACCAAACAAUUUAAUGCCGUAAUUUUUAAAAUAUAACUGUCCAACCUCAAUUUGAAACGGCACCUAAACUUUUUAGAUGAGCACCACUAAUCUUUGAUGCUCGCUGCCUCUAUCAACUGUGAUAUAUGUAGUUUGCGCCAAAGGCUUUAAGGAGCGGAGUCGGCACCAACUACUCUGCUUUCUACGUGUGGAGUUUCUCCUUCUAUGUCUGGGGAAGGGUUACAUGCCAAAAUCUAAUCUAAUAGGAAGCGAAGAGUUGCACGCCAAACUCUGAUCGUAGAUUCGUAAUAGACUGGGAUUCCUGGCUAAAAUAGUAGUUUCCAAUUCCCUUUUAACUUAGAUUUGCUAAUGAAGAAAUCUUCUUAAAUUGCCACUUUUUACUCUUGCUCUAUGAAGUUACUCGCCGAAUGCUUAUUCUAUCUCCUCAUUGCCGCCACAUUGAAGUUUAAGACACUGAUAUAUGUACAAAACGCUGACUAAAGCCUAACAGCUCUAUAGAAUAAUAAAACUUGCUCAUUUUAUAAGAUCAUAAAUAGUUUGGUUAAUAUUUAACUUGGUUAAUAUUUAACUGGGCGGGACAAUUCUAUAUUGUGCUUUAUCUUCCUUCAAAACAGAAUAAUGAUAUAAGUGCCAAAAACAGUAUAAAAAUUAGUAUGAAAUUUGUAAGAGAUCAUAAAAAAUUUGUCUUGUAGCCAAAAAAAAAAUUAUCAUAUAGUGAUGAUAUAUACUAAUUCUUGUACUUCUAUCGCUAUUUUUCAAAACAUUAUGCUAAUGCUAUAUUGUGGUUUAUUAUUAAAAAAGACAAAUCAAUGACCUAGCAUGUAUGAUGUUAUGCAUGCCAGCUGAUUGUUUUAGUUAAGGCAACUUAUUGUUUACUUCGGAAAGUCUUAGUAAACGUUUUCAAUGAAUUUAAUGUAAUAUUUACUAAUUGGACAGUUGAGAUAAACAAUAUCAUGGCAUCCUUUUUUUUUUUUUUAAAUAAACGGCGACAAAGUGAGGAAAUUUAUUAAAACAAAGAAGAAUAUACAGAAGAAAAAUAAAAGAACAAAUAAAAAUUAAGGGGCUAAAUGGGCCUAAUCCUAAACAAAAAUAGAGCUGGAAGCUCCAAUAGAAGCCAAUCCCUCAAAGAGAUUGUAACGCAUCGUGAGAUGAAGAUAUCUCAUCCACACGUUAGAAAUCCUUAAUCGCUUUCUUGAUAAUAGCUUUUUAUUUUUUCUUUCGUUGAGAUUUACAUUUUAUAGUUUGGAAUCCAUCUUCCACUAAAGAUUUACCAAGCAUAGAUGAUGCAGCGUAGAAGCAAUAUUAGAUGUCCACUUGAUGUAGUGAGAAAAUAAUAUUAGAUAUCGUUCUAAUUUAAUCCCGAAUACACAAAAAAGAUAGAUCUAAAAGAAAAAAAAAUUAAAUUACUGAU